GUUUCAGGUGGAUGGCAGCGUGCAUUCAGGCCUCUAAUGAAAUGUUAUCAUGAUGUGAGUUAGAUCUAAAGUGUGAUUAAUAAAACUCACAGAGAAAGUCAAACCAUAGAGAGGUACACAGAGGCCAGCUCGUUCUCUAACAUUAAUAGGCCGUGGGAUGUUUAUCACGUUAUAAGGGCAUCUAGGAAACCUGACAUAUGUAUUUUAUUUUAAGUUCUGCACAGGUUAAUAUAGGCCUGAUCUCUGGCCUCCUUUGUCGGGAAUUCGCCAUAUUAGUUGGAUCCAUCUUCCCCAGGUGAGAUGUGGGCGGCUGGACAGGGCAGAGGGGACCUGAACGUUCCACGGUUGCCAUGAUUUUGUCUCCAGGUGCAUCAUUCGAUCCGGAUCAACAUUCGGACAGAACCGAGCCUUCUGAUUUUCAGGACAAGUUCACUUUCACACGACGGUUUUGGGACGAAAAAAGGAUCUAACUUUCUGGCGACUUUUUGCAUCUGAACACUCGCUUCACACCUUUGCUGUCACUGAGGAACUUGGUCAAGAAAGAAAGCUACUUAUAUUCUGAAAACUUGAUUUCAUCUUGUCCUGGACUACACAGACAAUCAUCAGCAGAGAGCUGUAAAGGACGGCAGAGGGACUACUUCAAGAGAAAAGAUGUGUCUUGUGCCGUCUCACCUCCGUGACCACAGCUACUGCGGGACGGAGCCCAGCAGGAGCCAGAGGAGCACCGACACCGACCAGGCUGCUGGCAGCAGGAAGAGACGGAAGCAGCAGGAGGGCUCCUCCAGAGCUUCAGAGGAGCCUCCGGAGAGGAAGACUCCGCCUCAGCCCCCGGCCCUCCACCUCUGCCCCGCAGGCCAGGCUGGAAAGUGUCCGGCUGGAGGUGAGUGCUACAGUUGUCUACUCUAUCCUAGCUUGAUAGUCACUACGCACAUUCAGCUUACGCUGCCGCAUCAGUCUGUAUCUGACCCAG
ensembl:lncRNA